rnacentral:lncRNA from 1 species
AAAAUGGAGGACCCCGGCAAGCUUUCGCCCCCAAAGGUUGAGAAGCAUUUCGUUACUCCUUUGGCUCCAGAAACACUGCUACUGCUGCUGCUACUCCCAACUAAGCAUUUAGAGUUUUUCUGCCUUCUGAUCUAACUUCUAUUUUCUUUUUUCUUUUUAAAUUCUUCAAGACUCCAAAGACCACACCCAGCUCAAACACAAAACGGGGGGUCAAAAGUGGCCAGCUUCAGCCCUUUAGACUCCAUACCGAGGUACUACUGUUAGCUACAAUGAGUCACCCGUUGGGUGCAGCUCUUGUAUCAAAUCACCACUAAAGCACUUAAAGUUGCUAAUUAAAUCCAAGCCACUUUUCCAUGCAAAGUUCACCUGUCCUCCCGUACUAUUCAUGGUCAUCUAGUUGAUAGCCUAAGCUGACUUGUACACAGUACACAGACCAAUGUCAUAGAAGUCAUAGAAGAAUCUUUGCACUGCACGGUGGAAAUAUGCUAUUAGAGAAAGGUCAUCGAAAUGACGUUGUAACUUCAAAUUGCUCGACCAAUAGUUAAUGAUACUUAGCAGCACAUUAUUUUUUUCUGGUUUGCGAAGAA